AUUUCUUUACAGCAGAUGGAAUACUUAUUGAACAAGUAUGUGUAUGUUGAUGUACCUGGUUAUCCGAAUCAAACUCAUUUGAGUCUACAGUAAACUCAUGAGGGAGCCACACUGCUAUGUCAUCACCAGUUGGUGGGUCAGUAGCAGGUGGUGGACCACCCCCAGUUUGGAAUGUUUGUUUCCGUUCCAGGCACUUCUUUUUUUUCUCACACAUUUUUAUUAUGGCCGGGCGUAGGAUCGGUACAG
rnacentral:misc_RNA from 1 species